GACGAACGCUGGCGGCGGGCUUAACACAUGCAAGUCGAACGGAAAGGCCCUGCGUGUGUGGGGUGCUCGAGGGGCGAACGGGUGCGUAACACGUGAGUAACCUGCCCUUGACUUUGGGAGAACUUCAGGAAACUGGGGCUAAUACCGGAUAGGAGCUCCUGCUGCAGGGUGGGGAUUGGAAAGUUUCGGCGGGUGGGGAUGGACGGGCGGCUUAUCAGCUUGCUGGUUGGGGAGUGGUUUACCAAGUGUUUGGCGGAUCGCCGGCCUUAGAGGGUGGCCGGCCUCCUGGCUCCUGCGGUACGGCCCAGUGUGCUAUGUUGGGCAGCGGUGGGGAAUCUUGCCCAAUGGGCGGGCGCCUGAUGAGGCGACGCCGCGUUCGUGAUGACGUCUUGCUGGUUGUAAACAGCAUCCGCCUGUGACGCCGCUUUAGUGACGGUACUCGGUAAAGAAGCACCGGCUAACUACGUG
rnacentral:rRNA from 1 species